ACACUCACACUCACACUCUCACACUCACACUCACACACACUCACACUCACACUCACACUCACACUCACACUCACACUCACACUCACACUCACACUCACACUCACACUCACACUCACACCACACUCACACUCACACUCACACUCACACUCACACUCACACUCACACUUACACUCACACUCACACUCACACUCACACUCACACUCACACUCUCACACUCACACUCACACUCACACACACACACUCACACAUAUACCCUCCAGGUCCGGUUGCUCGAGGACCUCAACCCCGUGGAUAUCGAGGCGGCCGCCAGCCAGGCCAUUGAGGGGCUGAAGGACGAGGACUGGGAGCUGGACGCCAUGCAGAAGCGGCAGGCGGAGGCGGACGAGGAGGCGGAGGCCAGUGACGAGGAAAAGCUGGUGCGUGGUGCUUGCGGUGGCGUGGAAGAGCUAUGAGGGG
rnacentral:lncRNA from 1 species